GACAGUGGCUCUCAGAACUACUAAUGGAUCAACCAGAAUGCAAGUCUACAUCAAAACCUCAGCUAUGUCAUUUCACCCACCAUGACAAACCUUAUCAAACAUCUUUGAUUCCUUGGGUCAGGUGUGGAGUUUUGUGUUUUGCCAUAUUGAAUGUGAGGGCAAGUUGUACACUUUAAAGCUGGUAUGUUGGCUACUUUUUCUUUGUCCAAAUUAACCCAGAUUGUGAUCUGUUUGCUAUAUCCUGGUUACAUACCACAAACAAUCUAAUCUCAUUUGUCCUGUAUUUCUCAGCUAGGCACCGGCCAUAAGCAGGGAGGGAUUUCUCAUGCAAACUCAAAAACCAUGAGAGGAUACUGAAAGCUCCUUUCAUUCAUGAGGCCUGUGCUUUUUCUUGUCUUGACAGCAUUGGGGACAACAGCACAUGAGAAGUAAAAUGUCAUGAGUGCAUUAAGCUUGAUAACAAUCAGUUCAAAGCCUU
rnacentral:sRNA from 1 species